GUGGGGAAUCUUCCGCAAUGGACGAAAGUCUGACGGAGCGACGCCGCGUGAGUGAAGAAGGCCUUCGGGUCGUAAAGCUCUGUCAUCAGGGACGAACGGCCGGUGGAGUGGAAAGCCAUCGGAUUGACGGUACCUGAGAAGGAAGCCACGGCUAACUACGUGCCAGCAGCCGCGGUAAUACGUAGGUGGCAAGCGUUGUCCGGAAUUAUUGGGCGUAAAGCGCGCGCAGGUGGGAUCUUAAGUCCAUUUUUAAAGUUCGGAGCUCAACUCCGUGAUGGGAUGGAAACUGGGAUUCUUGAGUACCGGAGAGGAAAGCGGAAUUCCCCGUGUAGCGGUGAAAUGCGUAGAUAUGGGGAGGAACACCAGUGGCGAAGGCGGCUUUCUGGACGGUGUCUGACACUGAGGCGCGAAAGCCAGGGGAGCGAACGGGAUUAGAAACCCGGGUACC
rnacentral:rRNA from 1 species